GCGCACCAGUCGAGAAUACUUCGCAAUGGGGGAAACCCUGACGAGGGGAUUCCAAGUGCCAGCACACAGUGUUGGCUGUUCUUCUGUCCAAAACGCAGGAGAAGUAAGGGCCGGGUAAGACGGGUGCCAGCCGCCGCGGUAAUACCCGCGGCCCGAGUGGUGGUCGAUUUUAUUGAGCCUAAAACGUCCGUAGCCUGCUUGGUAAAUCCUUGGGUAAAUCGGCCAGCUUAACUGUCCGAAGUCCGGGAGACUGCCAGGCUUGGGACC
rnacentral:rRNA from 1 species